ensembl:miRNA rno-mir-679 rno-mir-679
GUCCCUGUGGUGACUUGAGGCUGCUCCCUGUGGCUUUGAACUGUGAGGUGACUCUUGGUGUGUGAUGGCUUUUCAGCAAGGUCUUCCUCACAGUAGCCAUAAGGACACGCCAGCAACGUGACUGAAGGGACAGUGGU